rnacentral:tRNA from 1 species
CAGAGAAUAGUUAAAUUUAGAAUUCUGGCUUUGGGGGCCAGAGGCGGGGGUUAAAAUCCCCUUUCUUUGA